rnacentral:rRNA from 1 species
CUGCCCUUGGGUCCGGCAUAACCCCGGGAAACUGGGGAUAAUUCCGGAUAACGCACAUAUGCUGGAAUGCUUUAUGCGUCAAAUGGAUUCGUCUGCCCAAGGAUGGGUCUGCGGCCUAUCAGGUAGUAGUGGGUGUAAUGUACCUACUAGCCGACGACGGGUACGGGUUGUGAGAGCAAGAGCCCGGAGAUGGAUUCUGAGACAUGAAUCCAGGCCCUACGGGGCGCAGCAGGCGCGAAAACUUUACAAUGCGGGAAACCGUGAUAAGGGGACACCGAGUGCCAGCAUCAUAUGCUGGCUGUCCGGGUGUGUAAAAUACACCUGUUAGCAAGGGCCGGGCAAGACCGGUGCCAGCCGCCGCGGUAACACCGGCGGCCCGAGUGGUGAUCGUGAUUAUUGGGUCUAAAGGGUCCGUAGCCGGUUUGGUCAGUCCUCCGGGAAAUCUGACGGCUUAACCGUUAGGCUUUCGGAGGAUACUGCCAGGCUUGGAACCGGGAGAGGUAAGAGGUACUACAGGGGUAGGAGUGAAAUCUUGUAAUCCCUGUGGGACCACCUGUGGCGAAGGCGUCUUACCAGAACGGGUUCGACGGUGA